rnacentral:sRNA from 1 species
AUUCCUUUGGAGGAAGCUAGCCAGGGUGCAGUGUUUGUUGAUGGGGACCCUGGCUUUGGCUGAGGCUGACUCACCUCUCCACCUUCAGGACCUCUUCAACGACCUGAUUGCCUGUGUGUUCCUUGUGGGAGCCGUGGUCUUUGCUGUGAGAAGUCGGCGAUCCAUGAAUCUCCACUACUUACUUGCUGUGAUCCUUAUUGGUGUGGCUGGACUUUUUGCUUUUAUCGAUGUGUGUCUUCAAAGAAACCACUACAGAGGCAAGAGGACGAAAAAGCAUAUGCUGGUUCCUCCUCCAGGAAAGGAUAAAGGACCCCAGGAGGGCAAGGGACCAGAACCCGCCAAGCCACCAGAACCUGCCAAGCCACCACAGCCAGCAAAGGGAAAGAAAUGACUUGGAGGAGGCUCCUGGUGUCUGAAACGGCAGUGUAUUUUACAGCAAUAUGUUUCCACUCUCUUCCUUGUCUUCUUUCUGGAAUGGUUUUCUUUUCCAUUUUCAUUACUAUCUUUGCUUGGAAAAGAAUGGAUUAAUGGAUUCUAAAAGCCUAAA